GACGAACGCUGGCGGCGUGCUUAACACAUGCAAGUCGUACGGUAAGGCCCUUUCGGGGGUACACGAGUGGCGAACGGGUGAGUAACACGUGAGUAACCUGCCCACAACUUUGGGAUAACGCUAGGAAACUGGUGCUAAUACUGGAUAUGUGCUCCUGCUGCAUGGUGGGGGUUGGAAAGCUCCGGCGGUUGUGGAUGGACUCGCGGCCUAUCGGCUUGUUGGUGGGGUAGUGGCCUACCAAGGCGGCGACGGGUAGCCGGCCUGAGAGGGUGACAGGCCACACAGGGACUGAGAUGCGGCCCAGGCGGCGACGGGAGGAAGAAGGGCGGAAUCUUGCACCAUGGGCGCCGGGUUGAUGCAGCAACGCGGCGGGCGGGAUGACGGCCUUGGGGUUGAAGACCGCUAUCAGCAGGGACGACGCUUUUUCUGACGGUACCUGAAGAAGAAGCACCGGCUAACUACGUG
rnacentral:rRNA from 1 species